rnacentral:lncRNA from 1 species
UACGAUCACGUAUAUAUAUAUAUAUAUGUAGGCACGUGCAGGUUUAUGCCUGUACAUGAAAAAAAUAAAUAAAUAAUUAAAAUAUUUAUCCAGAAUGACAAAAAAAAAGUAAAAAUAAAAUAGAGUAUAUAUAUAUAUAUAUGCAUAACCAAGCAUACACGUGUAGAUAUGCAUAUUUUUAUAAUUUUUAAAAAGUCGGUUUAAACAUUUAAAUUUCAUAAUGAGUUUAAAAAUUUAAGUUCUGGCAUCAAAAUAAAAAAAAGUGAUAUUUACACUUAAAAAAUAUAAAUAUAUUUUUUUUUUUUUUUUAUAAAGCGGAAUUGAAGGAAAGAAAAAAGAAGGAUGAAGUAAAAUGUAUGGUAAUAACUAUAAUAUGAUAUUAAAUAUAAAUCGUUUUGUUUGUCCAAUUUUCAAUCUUUUUUUUUUUUUUUUUUUUGCCCAUUUCCAAACCCUUUAAUUUUUUUUUUUUUUUUUUUUUUUAGCUAUUAAAACGAACACCUUUUAGUGUACAUUAAUUUUAAAAAUUUCAUCCAAGUUCAAUUUUGGUGUCUGUACAUUUUGACAUUCUAUUAUGUUAAUAUAAUUGUCACCAUUGAUAUUCAUUAAACAUAAAAGGUCGAUUUUAGUGACUUUUUUUUGAAAGAUUAUUUUUUUUAUUUGUAAUUAAUGUAAAGUUUUCUUCCCCUUCACUAACUAAAUCAUUAUAUAAGUCAUCUUUAAAACAAAUAUCUUUUUUAUAAUUAUUUAAUGCUCGGUUAUAUAUAUUCAUCAUUUUUAUAGCUUCUAAUUCAAUAUUGGCUGAUAAUUCUUUAUUUAUACAAUAAAUAGCAUAACUAAUUAAAUUAUAAAUAUCACAUUUUGACCACUCCAUAGAAUUAUGAUUAAAACCAAAGCUGCUGCUUAGUUUUUUGCUUAUUUCUGAGGUUUUGUCUUGGUCAUAACUAGGUAUCAUGUUUUCUAAUAAAUUAAAAACCCCUAAAUUUGUAUCACUAAAACUAUUAUAUUUUGUUCUUAUCAUUUCUGUUAUAUCUUCUUGUUUUAUUGUUGGACUUAUUAUUUCUUUAAUUUUAACAAAUAACCAAUCAUUUCCUGUAUUUUCAGCUUCUGUAGUUUUAUCGUUUUCUAUUAAUCCAUCACUUUGUUUAUUACAAUCUAUAUUGUUAUAUUCUAUAUUUUUUUCUGUUACUUCUACCUCUACAUUUAAAUCAUCUGUAUUAUUUUUAUCUACAACAUCACCUUCGGCAUAUUUAUCUACUAUUUCCUUAUGGUCAUAUUUUUUUUUUUUCUUUUUUUUUUUUUUUUAAGUUUUCAUUAUUUUUAUCCUUAUUUAAAACGGCUUCUGUUUUACUCACCGAAUUGUUGAGAUUGUCAAUAUGAUCUU